CAGCCGCCGCGGUAAUACGAAGGGUGCAAGCGUUAAUCGGAAUUACUGGGCGUAAAGCGUGCGUAGGCGGUUUGUUAAGUCUGUUGUGAAAUCCCCGGGCUCAGCCUGGGAAUGGCAAUGGAUACUGGCAAGCUAGAGUGUGUCAGAGGAUGGUGGAAUUCCCGGUGUAGCGGUGAAAUGCGUAGAGAUCGGGAGGAACAUCAGUGGCGAAGGCGGCCAUCUGGGACAACACUGACGCUGAGGCACGAAAGCGUGGGGAGCAAACAGGAUUAGAUACCCCCGUAGUCCCUGUCUCUUAUAC
rnacentral:rRNA from 1 species